UGAAUACACAGUGAAACUGCGAACGGCUCAUUCAAACAGUUAUAGGUUAUUUGAUAUUCGGAUACUUCCAAUAUGGAUACCCGUAGUAAUUCUAGGGCUAAUACAUGCGUUGCGGGGGACUUCACGGAACCCCAGUAUUAUUAGAUAUUUCAAACCAUCAUUCCGCAAGGUCUACUGAGAUGAUUCAUGAUAACUAGUCGAAUGCCGUUUCUACCGGCAUAUGUCAUUCAUGUUUCUGCUUCCCAUCAGCUUGAUUGUAGUGUAUUGGACAACAAUGGCAUUCACGGGCAACCGGGGGAUUAGGGUUCGAUUCCGGAGAGGGAGCCUGGUAAACGGCUACCACUUCUACGGAAGGCAGCAGGCGCGAAAAUUAUCCAAUCCUGACUCAGGGAGGUAGUGAGACAAAUAACGAACUGGGAUUAUUUUAUCCUGGGAUCGCAAUGGGCUUGAUUUGCAAACUUGAUAUUAGCGAGGAACAAUUGGAGGGCAAGUCUGGUGCCAGCAGCCGCGGUAAUUCCAGCUCCAAUAGUGUAUAUUAACGUUCCUGCAGUUAUUCGAUGCUCGUAGUUGGAUUUCUGGGGGUGGAGACAGGAGGGUGGCUAUGGCCACCGCCAGUCUUUUCCCUCGUCCGCCUGUUAACGGCGCUCGAGAUUGAGUUCUCGACGUCGAGCGCAGGCACUUUGAUUGAUUCUCUUGAGCAAAUUAUAGUGUUUCAGGCAGGCGUGCGCCGGAAUACAUUAGCAUGGAAUAUACUUACGGACCGUGUGUAGCUUGCUACAUCUCCUUAUUUGUUGGUUUCUUUAAGGACACGGAUUGAUUAAUAGGGAUAGUUGAGAGUUUUUCUCACCAGGGGAGGCAUUAGUAUUUAAUUUCCAGAGGUGAAAUUCUUUGAAAUUUCUAAAGACUAACUUAUGCGAAAGCAUUUUUUUUAUUUUUAUACCUGCCAAGAAUGUUUUUAUUUUUUUAUCGAACAGAACGAAAGUUAGGGGAUCAAAGACGAUCAGAUACCGUCCUAGUCUUAACCAUAAACUUUGCCGACUAGGGAUCGGAGGGCGUGCACAUUCCGCCUCCGGCACCUUACGAGAAAUCAUAAGUAUUUUGGGUUCUGGGGGUAGUAUGGUCGCAAGGCUGAAACUUAAAGGAAUUGACGGAAGGGCACCACCAGGGGUGGAGCUUGCGGCUCAAUUUGACUCAACACGGGAAAUCUUACCAGGUCCAGACAUAGGAAGGAAAUUGACAGAUUGAUAGCUCUUUCUUGAUUCUAUGGGUUGAUUCGGUGGUGCAUGGCCGUUCUUAGUUGGUGGAGUGAUUUGUCUGGUUAAUUCCGAAUUUAAUAUAAAUACAAACGAACGAGACCUCAGCCUGCUAAAUAGUUGUCAGUCUUUUUAUGUGCUUGCACAAACCGAGACUGACUAACUUCUUAGAGGGACUUUGUGAGCAACCAGAAAGGAAGUUUGAGGCAAUAACAGGUCUGUGAUGCCCUUAGAUGUCCUGGGCCGCACGCGUGCUACACUGAUACGUACAACAAGGUAUACAUAUCUACUUGCUGCUCCGAAAUAGAUUAUCUUUGGCUAAAUCUCCAAUACGUAUCGUGCUGCGGAUAGAUCGUUGAUAUUAAUUAUGGAUCUUGAAGGAGGAAUCCCUAGUAAGCGCAAGUCAUCAGCUUGCGUUGAUUACGUCCCUGCCCUUUGUACACACCGCCCGUCGCUCCUACCAAUUUCGAGUGGCUCGGUGAGCC
rnacentral:rRNA from 1 species